AUUGAACGCUGGCGGCAUGCCUUACACAUGCAAGUCGAACGGCAGCACGGGAGCUUGCUCCUGGUGGCGAGUGGCGAACGGGUGAGUAAUGCAUCGGAACGUGCCCUGAAGUGGGGGAUAACGUAGCGAAAGUUACGCUAAUACCGCAUAUUCUGUGAGCAGGAAAGCAGGGGAUCUUCGGACCUUGCGCUUUUGGAGCGGCCGAUGUCGGAUUAGCUAGUUGGUGGGGUAAAGGCCCACCAAGGCGACGAUCCGUAGCGGGUCUGAGAGGAUGAUCCGCCACACUGGAACUGAGACACGGUCCAGACUCCUACGGGAGGCAGCAGUGGGGAAUUUUGGACAAUGGGCGCAAGCCUGAUCCAGCCAUUCCGCGUGCAGGAUGAAGGCCUCGGUUGUAACUAGCUUUGUACGGUAACGAAACGGACGAGCUCUAAUACAGUUUGCUAAUGACGGUACCGUAAGAAUAAGCA
rnacentral:rRNA from 1 species